rnacentral:rRNA from 1 species
CAUAUCAAUAAGCGGAGGAAAAGAAACUAACAAGGAUUCCCCUAGUAACUGCGAGUGAAGCGGGAAAAGCUCAAAUUUAAAAUCUGUCAGUCUUUGGCUGUCCGAGUUGUAAUCUAGAGAAGUGUUAUCCGCGCUGGACCGUGUACAAGUCUCCUGGAAUGGAGCGUCAUAGAGGGUGAGAAUCCCGUCUUUGACACGGACUGCCAGGGCUUUGUGAUGCGCUCUCAAAGAGUCGAGUUGUUUGGGAAUGCAGCUCAAAAUGGGUGGUAAAUUCCAUCUAAAGCUAAAUAUUGGCGAGAGACCGAUAGCGAACAAGUACCGUGAGGGAAAGAUGAAAAGAACUUUGGAAAGAGAGUUAAACAGUACGUGAAAUUGCUGAAAGGGAAACGCUUGAAGUCAGUCGCGUUGUCCAGGGAUCAACCUUGCUUUUGCUUGGUGUACUCUCUGGUUGACGGGUCAGCAUCAAUUUUGACCAUUGGAAAAAGAUUAAGGGAAUGUGGCAUCCUUGGAUGUGUUAUAGCCCUUGGUUGCAUACAAUGGUUGGGAUUGAGGAACUCAGCACGCCGAAAGGCCGGGUUUUUAACCACGUACGUGCUUAGGAUGCUGGCAUAAUGGCUUUAAUCGACCCGUCUUGAAACACGGACCAAGGAGUCUAACAUGCCUGCGAGUGUUUGGGUGGAAAACCCGAGCGCGUAAUGAAAGUGAAAGUUGAGAUCCUUGUCAUGGGGAGCAUCGACGCCCGGACCAGACCUUUUGUGACGGUUCCGCGGUAGAGCAUGUAUGUUGGGACCCGAAAGAUGGUGAACUAUGCCUGAAUAGGGUGAAGCCAGAGGAAACUCUGGUGGAGGCUCGUAGCGAUUCUGACGUGCAAAUCGAUCGUCAAAUUUGGGUAUAGGGGCGAAAGACUAAUCGAACCAUCUAGUAGCUGGUUCCUGCC